GACAGAGGGUGCAAACGUUGCUCGGAAUUACUGGGCGUAAAGCGCGUGUAGGUGGAUUGGUGUGUCAGAUGUGAAAUCCCUGGGCUCAACCCAGGAACUGCACCUGAAACUACCAGUCUUGAGUGGUGGAGAGGGAAGUGGAAUUCCUGGUGUAGAGGUGAAAUUCGUAGAUAUCAGGAGGAACACCGGUGGCGAAGGCGGGUCUCUGGGCAGUAACUGACGCUGAGGAGCGAAAGCGUGGGGAGCGAACAGG
rnacentral:rRNA from 1 species